GUUAUUGUUAGGAUUGGGAUUGGCACCCUGUCCAGGGUGUACCCCGCCUUGUGCCCGAUGUUCCCUGGGAUAGGCUCCAGGUUUCCCCGUGACCCUUAAAAGGAUGAAGCGAUAUAGAAGAUGGAUGGAUGGAUGGAUGAAUGGAUGUUAGGAUUGGGAAAGCUAAACUCGUUACAGGUUCCCUGCUUUCACAAACAAAGACGGCUUACUCAUCAUUCACGGCUUGGAAAACGAUCAAACGCCCCACCAGGACAUGUGAGAAAUUAGUGUGUGGAAAGUUUCCUGAUUGCCUACCCACUGUGCCUCUGCACGUCAGGUCGACUGAAGACUCAGAAGAGGAAUCAAACAAUUACGAUUCGGUUCCACGGCAUCUGUUCGCUCGUGCACGGCUAAAACUCUCAGCCUUCCAUCCUGGCUUUGGGCUACACCGCUUCAGCUGUGAGAGGAACGGCAGUAAUCGGGAAAUUUCUUUUUUUGCAUCUUUAACGCCGGGGUCAAAAGAAAGCGAGUGUGGGAUGGGUUUCAUGGAGUUAUAUUAGGAGUGUGGAGUGUAAGCCUGCAAGUAAAAAAUAAUAAAAUAAUAAUAACAAUAAACAGGAAAUGUUUUCAUUACUGGAAAGUCACAUUGCGUGCUUCAUGCUAUUAUUGUGGGUGUUAAGGUUAGAUUAGAUAUGAGCAACCUCACAGCAUCAGAUAGGCUUUAUAGUAAGUUAGUGAUGUAAUCUCUUUGCUUCUGGAGCCCCCCCCACACACACACACACACAAACACACACACACACAUGUACACACACGCACACAGAUUAUCUGCGCUGUGAUAAUGGAGCCUAGAGAGAGAUAAAGAGGGAUUGAGUCUCCUUGGGUAGUCUGAUUGUAGAGGACAGUCAUGUCUUAAGGUGUGUGAAAAACAUGUGUGCAUUGUUUUAUUAUUUAUUUUUUUUUAAUUGUCCUUCAAUUCACAUUGCAGGUGUUCCUUCAGUUUUCGGGCUGAAAUCUGACGAACAGUUCGUGUAUGAACAUGUAUGAGAAACAGCAGUCUGAGGCAGUUCGUUUUGUUAUCAUGAUGAUUAUUAUUAUUAUUAUUACUAUUAUUAUUAUUAUAACCUUUUGUUACGGUCUGUUACACUUUAUUUGUUUUCAAGUUCUUUAAAUUCAUUCCAGUCGAAGGUAAACAUGAUUUUAAAUGGUUGUUUCCAACACUAAUAAAUGCUUUUGUUGUUUCUUCUAAACGACCCAGACGCUCUUGCACACAUGCGCGGAGAAAACGUACAAUCAAGCAACUUACACGCGCACACACACACACACACACACACACACGCGCACACAAACUCGUGUCUAAGUUUUGAAGUGCAACAGUUUAUACUUUUCCGUCGUUCGCCCGAUCAACUCUUCUUAAAUUCACCACUCCCGAUAAAAGUAAUGACCCCGAACAGAACACACACGUUUCCCCGAACGAACCCGAGCCGAACACAUUAGCCUUAAAAUACACAAUGAGAAGAAAAAAAUCGACGUACAAGUCAAAACAAAUUCGGUAAAAAUGACGUGCGUCCCACGUCAUACUGAGCGUUCAAGUCAUUAGCAUUGUACUCUUUGCUCUACGACAGCAUGUUACCAUGGUAACCACAUUAGCAGAAUGUACAGAGUGGACAUCUAUGAGUUCCCGCUAAUCUAAAGCUAAUCGGGAAAGAGAAAAAAAAAAAGAACAACCUCAUUUGGCUUCGACGCUACGACAAAAGCGUCCCAUCUCGCCGGUUACUCCACGUACUCAUUAGAUUCUCAUUUAGCAUGUUAACUUAAACCUACUAAAUCUAAAUCCUUCGUCUUGACUCCGUAGGCGAGAUGCUGGAUUGCAAGCCUGUUCUGUUGAGCUGGAGCACUGUGAGCUCGUGCCCGGGUUUAUCUCAGGGCCGGUAAG
ensembl:lncRNA